ACGGAAGGCAGCAGUAAGGAAUCUUGCACAAUGGGGGAAACCCUGAUGCAGCAACGCCGCGUGAGUGAUGAAGGUCUUCGGAUUGUAAAACUCUGAUCUAAGGGAAGAAACAAAUGACGGUACCUUAGGAGAAAGCCCCGGCUAACUACGUGCCAGCAGCCGCGGUAAUACGUAGGGGGCAAGCGUUAUCCGGAAUUAUUGGGCGUAAAGAGUGCGUAGGUGGUUACCUAAGCGCAAGGUUUAAUCUUGAGGCUUAACCUCAUUCUGCCUUGCGAACUGGGCUACUUGAGUGCAGGGGGGGAAAGCGGAAUUCCUAGUGUAGCGGUGAAAUGCGUAGAUAUUAGGAGGAACACCAGUGGCGAAGGCGGCUUACUGGACGAUUACUGACGCUGAGGCUCGAAAGUGCGGGUAGCAAACAGGAUUAGAUACCCUGGUA
rnacentral:rRNA from 1 species